GGUCAGGUCAGGGCACGUGGUGUCCCAAUGUCAGUCCCUGCAGCCAGUCCUGUACCAAUCCCACCCCUCCGGUGCUGGAAGAAGGCUGUGCCAGCGAGCAGCUCAAAAAUGCAUCCUUAACACAGCCACGCUGUGGCUGAUGCCAUCCGCCGGCAUCACUGCCACUUUAUCACGGAUAAAUCAGGCGGCCCAGGAUGGCAACUGCACACAGGAGUUUGUUAGUAUUCAGGUCUCUCCACGCUGAUGGCUUCAUAACUCCAGACUUGCCUCUUAAUUGCACCCCUCGUUUAUCGCCUGCACAGGGCAAGCAGAGCUGUCAUUGCCUGAACCUCACUCAUCCGUUUAACCUUGGGGGAAGAAACACAUUUGUGGCGGAUAGCAUGCAUCAGAUGGUGGCACGGGAAGCGCCUGUAGCUGCUGCGCCUGAUGGAUGGGCUACACGGGCCUCGCCUGACCUGUGCUUGUAUGUUAUCUGCAUUGCUGCAGGAGGCUUUUCAUCACGCCGACAGCUCCGCCAUCACCUGCCUGGCAGAGCUCCUCGCUGGGCAGCAGCCACGCAGCUGCGGUGCCACCACAGCGUCGGGAAGGAGAUGGUGCGCUGCGGUGCGGGAAGGCCAUGCCAUAUGCCCAGCAAGGACAGCAUCACCGCCUGCGCUUCCAUCUCCUCUGUACGGGCUGUGGGGAGCAGCCAGCUGUGCCCACGUCAUGGGGAGCAGACAGCCCUGGGCCGCACAGCGUCGGGAGCUAUAGUGUCCGUGCAGGGCUGCCUCUGAUUCCAGGCACAGCACCCAUCCAUCCCUGGGCACAAACACCACCCAUCCCUGGGCACAGACACCCAGUGUUCCCUGUGCUGGGGGGCUCUGCGGCUGUGCCCUGCCAACACAUGUGGGGUCAGGUACAGGUACAGCCCGGCAUGCAGCUCAGCACCGGAACCACAGCACCUCAGAGCAGCAGCAGGCACAGCUCCCAUCCCCGGAGGCACUGGAGCAAAGGCUGGGAAUAAACGACUCUGUUUAUGAAGCCCAUAAUGGAGCCAGCAAAAUCAGUCACUCGGCACAGCGGCAGCACUGCGCUAAUGGGACGUUAUUUAUGGCACUUCCCUGACAGUGAGGGAGCUCAGUGCGUCCCACUGCCAGGCACUGCCCCCUGUGCCCGACACUGCGUGGCACAGGAGGGGGCAGGAGGUGGGGCAGGCAGUGGAGCUGUGGCUCUGAAACUGGGGGUGAUACAGGGAUGGCACACGGGGAGCAAACGGCACCCACAGUGCUGAAGCUGUAAGGCCGUGGCAGUGCAGAGCUGGGGGCAGAGGGGCCAUCGCCGGCAGCAGUGCCAGCAGAGGGAGAAGCCAGGCUGUCACACGUGUCCUUUGGGUGACAUUUUGCCGAUGAGGGGCCCUGUGACAGUGACGGAGAGGGUAUUGAGCCGGGCAGUGCCGUGCCCGGUGACGGAUGAGCGCUGCCAAGCGCCGACACAGAAGCCAUUUGGUGUGGGGAGAUGAUAGAUGCUAACACUAAUUUUAAACACAGGCAGCCGAAUUCCUCCAGACAGGCACGGCGCUCAGGAUUUAGGGCACAGCUGCUGGGUUCAGAUAAGGUGUGAAAUCAGCCCGGCGCGCGGGGUGUUACCUAAUAAUGAGCACCUCGUGAUGGAUGGGGGCAUCUUCCCACCGCAACCUCACAUUUGGAGCCUUUCAUGUCUCCUGGCAUCAAUUCUUCUCCCUUCUGGGGGAUGUGAUCCCCUCCCCCAGCCCCUGCAUGCAUGGACCCACAGCCUGGGCGCUGUGCACGACUCACGGCUCUGCCCCGUGGGGUGACGCAGUGCCUGCUGCCACCGCCUGCACUUCCAUGUCCCCUCCCUGUGAUGGGGGACAGCCCCAUGCCAGGGGACUCCGAGCCACGUGGGCAGCGCCAGGACACGGCUCAGCCCCAGAUGGUUACAGCAAAAGUGAUGCUCGAAAUGGCAAUCGCUGUGCUUGUCUGUAGCAUUUAAUCUUUCUUCUGACCUUAUAAAAAAAUCUAUUUGUGUUGGGAUUCUAAACUCAGUUCUUAAAUCACCCACUACAGGCUUCACACUGUAUUAAUUUCUCCUCAAGCAAAUGAGUUUGGUAUUUGCUCUUUUCCGGUAGCAUCAGCGCCAGAGAGCACAGCAGAUGCAUGGCACUUCUGCCCCUCCACUCAAAGCUGAGUAUGACACACGCACCUCCUUCUGAGAGCUGCAAGAGGAAAAGCAGCACCAGGAGAGCCAUCCCCUCCAUCCCAUCCCAUCCCAUCCCAUCCCAUCUCAUCCCCCUUAAUUCCAUCCCACCCCACUCCAUCCCAUCCCAUUUGAUUUCAUCCCAUUCCAUCCCAUCCCACACCCUCUUCUCCGCUGCCAGGAGAAGCAGGAGCUGCACUGGAGGCAGUGGGGCAGUGCAGGGAUGCACAGCUGCAGUUGGAGCUGACACGCUGCCAGCACACUGCCAUUGAUUCGGAG
ensembl:lncRNA